rnacentral:rRNA from 1 species
AUUGAACGCUGGCGGCAGGCUUAACACAUGCAAGUCGAGCGGGGUGAUGGUGCUUGCACUAUCACUUAGCGGCGGACGGGUGAGUAAUGCUUAGGAAUCUGCCUAUUAGUGGGGGACAACAUCUCGAAAGGGGUGCUAAUACCGCAUACGUCCUACGGGAGAAAGCAGGGGAUCACUGGUGACCUUGCGCUAAUAGAUGAGCGUAAGUCGGAUUAGCUAGUUGGUGGGGUAAAGGACUACCAAGGCGACGAUCUGUAGCGGGUCUGAGAGGAUGAUCCGCCACACUGGGACUGAGACACGGCCCAGACUCCUACGGGAGGCAGCAGUGGGGAAUAUUGGACAAUGGGGGGAACCCUGAUCCAGCCAUGCCGCGUGUGUGAAGAAGGCCUUAUGGUUGUAAAGCACCUUAAGCGAGGAGGAGGCUCUUUUGGUUAAUACCCAGAAUGAGUGGACGUUACUCGCAGAAUAAGCACCGGCUAACUCUGUGCCAGCCGCCGCGGUAA